AGCGAACGCUGGCGGCAGGCCUAACACAUGCAAGUCGAACGAAACCUUCGGGUUUAGUGGCGGACGGGUGAGUAACACGUGGGAACGUGCCCUUUGGUUCGGAACAACUCAGGGAAACUUGAGCUAAUACCGGAUGUGCCCUUCGGGGGAAAGAUUUAUCGCCAUUGGAGCGGCCCGCGUAGGAUUAGCUAGUUGGUGGGGUAAUGGCCCACCAAGGCUCCGAUCCUUAGCUGGUCUGAGAGGAUGAUCAGCCACACUGGGACUGAGACACGGCCCAGACUCCUACGGGAGGCAGCAGUGGGGAAUCUUGCGCAAUGGGCGAAAGCCUGACGCAGCCAUGCCGCGUGAGUGAUGAAGGCCUUAGGGUUGUAAAGCUCUUUCACCGAUGAAGAUAAUGACGGUAGUCGGAGAAGAAGCCCCGGCUAACUUCGUGCCAGCAGCCGCGGUAAGAC
rnacentral:rRNA from 1 species